rnacentral:rRNA from 1 species
UCCUACGGGGCGCAGCAGUGGGGGAUAUUGCACAAUGGGGGAAACCCUGAUGCAGCGACGCCGCGUGAGCGAUGAAGUAUUUCGGUAUGUAAAGCUCUAUCAGCAGGGAAGAAGAUGACGGUACCUGAAUAAGAAGCCCCGGCUAACUACGUGCCAGCAGCCGCGGUAAUACGUAGGGGGCAAGCGUUAUCCGGAUUUACUGGGUGUAAAGGGAGCGCAGACGGCGAUGCAAGUCUGAAGUGAAAGGCGGGGACCCAACCCCCGGACUGCUUUGGAAACUGUAUAGCUGGAGUGCAGGAGAGGUA